CACGUAGGGGGCGAGCGUUGUCCGGAUUUAUUGGGCGUAAAGAGCUCGUAGGCAGCUCGGUAAGUCGGGUGUGAAACCUCCAGGCUCAACCUGGAGACGCCACUCGAUACUGCCGUGGCUAGAGUCCGGUAGAGGAGCGUAGAAUUCCUGGUGUAGCGGUGAAAUGCGCAGAUAUCAGGAGGAAUACCAGCGGCGAAGGCGGCGCUCUGGGCCGGAACUGACGCUGAGGAGCGAAAGCGUGGGGAGCAAACAGG
rnacentral:rRNA from 1 species